CGGCGAGUGAAGCGGCAACAGCUCAAAUUUGAAAUCUGGCCUUCGGGUCCGAGUUGUAAUUUGUAGAGGAUGCUUUUGGUGCGGUGCCUUCCGAGUUCCCUGGAACGGGACGCCAUAGAGGGUGAGAGCCCCGUCUGGUUGGAUACCAAUCCUCUGUAAAGCUCCUUCGACGAGUCGAGUAGUUUGGGAAUGCUGCUCUAAAUGGGAGGUAUAUGUCUUCUAAAGCUAAAUACCGGCCAGAGACCGAUAGCGCACAAGUAGAGUGAUCGAAAGAUGAAAAGCACUUUGAAAAGAGGGUUAAACAGUACGUGAAAUUGUUGAAAGGGAAGCGCUUGUGACCAGACUUGGGCAUGGUUAAUCAUCCAGCGUUCUCGCUGGUGCACUUGGCCUGCCCAGGCCAGCAUCAGUUCGGUGCGGGGGAUAAAGGCUUCGGGAAUGUGGCUCCUCCGGGAGUGUUAUAGCCCGUUGUGCAAUACCCUGCGCUGGACUGAGGUUCGCGCAUCUGCAUGGAUGCUGGCGUAAUGGUCAUCAGCGACCCGUCUUGAAACACGGACCAAGGAGUCGUCCUCGUAUGCGAGUGUUCGGGUGUUAAACCCCUACGCGUAAUGAAAGUGAACGCAGGUGAGAGCUUCGGCGCAUCAUCGACCGAUCCUGAUGUUCUCGGAUGGAUUUGAGUAAGAGCAUACGGGGCCGGACCCGAAAGAAGGUGAACUAUGCCUGUAUAGGGUGAAGCCAGAGGAAACUCUGGUGGAGGCUCGCAGCGGUUCUGACGUGCAAAUCGAUCGUCAAAUAUGGGCAUGGGGGCGAAAGACUAAUCGAACCU
rnacentral:rRNA from 1 species